GUGCCAGGCCGCGCGGUAAUACCGGCAGCCCGAGUGAUGGCCGAUCUUAUUGGGCCUAAAGCGUCCGUAGCUGGCUGCGCAAGUCCGUCGGGAAAUCCACUCGCUCAACGAGUGGGCGCCCGACGGAAACUGCACAGCUUGGGACCGGAAGGCUCGAAGGGUACGUUCGGGGUAGGAGUGAAAUCCCAUAAUCCCGCACGGACCACCGAUGGCGAAAGCACUUCGAGAAAACGGAUCCGACAGUGAAGGACGAAAGCCAGGGUCUCGAACCGGAUUAGAUACCCCAGUAGUCC
rnacentral:rRNA from 1 species